CCCUCCCCCGCCCGGCCUCCUGGGCCCUGCGGACUCCACCCUAAGGCAGUCCGGCCGGCCGCGCUGCUCUCCUGUGACAGUGACACAAAUUUAUUUGUGGCAGAGGAAAGGCUGCAGGACCAGAAGGGGCAAGGAAGAUCAUUCUCACCCUAACCAGGGAAGACGCCUUCACAAUGGAUUUAUCUCCUGCUGUGAAGAAAAAGAAGGGAGGUCUCCCCCUGUCUCAGCAACAGCCCACUAACCACCACUUGCAGCCAAUGAGAAAUCUCCACACCCUCAAACUCUUGCUCUUUUCCAAUGAAGCUUUGUUCAAAAUAGCCCGCCCCAAAUUCCUCCUAAACCCUAAUAAAAGCUGACCUUCCCAGCUUUUUUUCAACUUCCCUAUGCUUUGCCAUACUAUGCUUAUCCAAACUGCAAUUCCUCUCCUAUUCCUGAAUAAACUUGUUUCACCAA